AGACUUGGCCCUAAACCACACAGAAGAGCUGGCAUGAAACCCAGAGCUUUCAGACUCCGGAGCCUCAGCCCUUCACCCCGAUUCCAUUGCUUCUUGCUAAAUGCUGCCGUUUUAUCACGGAGGUGGUUCCUAAUAUUACUUAUCAAUGCAUGGAGCUGAAUUUCUACAAAAUCCCCGACAACCUCCCCUUCUCAACCAAGAACCUGGACCUGAGCUUUAAUCCCCUGAGGCAUUUAGGCAGCUAUAGCUUCUUCAGUUUCCCAGAACUGCAGGUGCUGGAUUUAUCCAGGUAAUGAAUCCACUUUUACAUACUGCACAAGGUGAGGUGUUCAUUGUCCUGUCAUUUCAUUAUUGGACUGGAAAGCUUGGUUUGUGGAGUCUCAUCUUCAUUCACUUAUUCAUUCAUACAACAGAUGUCUUAUUAACUAUAUAACCUUGAGCAAGCUACCUCUAUUCUCCAGGUCUCAGUUUUCUAAUCUGUGAAGUAGGCAGUUGGCUGAGACAGCUUCUAAGGGCAAUUCUAAUUUUAGGUUUUCUUU
rnacentral:lncRNA from 10 species